rnacentral:rRNA from 1 species
UACGUAGGGUGCGAGCGUUGUCCGGAAUUACUGGGCGUAAAGCGUGCGUAGACGGUUAUUUAAGUCGGGUGUGAAAGCCCCGGGCUCAACCUGGGAAUUGCAUUCGAGACUGAAUAGCUAGGGUACGGUAGAGGGAAGCGGAAUUUCCGGUGUAGCGGUGAAAUGCGUAGAUAUCGGAAGGAACAUCAGUGGCGAAAGCGGCUUCCUGGACCAGUACCGACGUUCAGGCACGAAAGCGUGGGGAGCAAACAGG